rnacentral:rRNA from 1 species
GAUGAACGCUGGCGGCGUGCCUAAUACAUGCAAGUCGAGCGAAUGGAUUAAGAGCUUGCUCUUAUGAAGUUAGCGGCGGACGGGUGAGUAACACGCGGGUAACCUGCCCAUAAGACUGGGAUAACUCCGGGAAACCGGGGCUAAUACCGGAUAAUAUUUUGAACUGCAUGGUUCAAAAUUGAAAGGCGGCUUCGGCUGUCACUUAUGGAUGGACCCGCGUCGCAUUAGCUAGUUGGUGAGGUAACGGCUCACCAAGGCAACGAUGCGUAGCCCACCGGACGGGUGUAACGGCCACACUGGGACUGAGACACGGCCCAGACUCCUACGGGAGGCAGCAGUAGGGAAUCUUCCGCAAUGGACGAAAGUCUGACGGAGCAACGCCGCGUGAGUGAUGAGGGGUUUCGAGUCGUAAAACUCUGUUGUUAGGGAAGAACAAGUGCUAGUUGAAUAAGCUGGCACCUUGACGGUACCUAACCAGAAAGCCACGGCUAACUACGUGCCAGCCGCCGCCGUAA